rnacentral:lncRNA from 1 species
AGCUCACUUCAGAGAUAAAGAUUUACAGCCAAUUCAGCAAAUCAGGAACUCCUUAAAAAGGUUACUUGAUAAAAAAGUGGGCAUAUCCUAUAUUGGAAAGGCCUGUUAGAAGAUGGACAAUGGCACGCUUCACGUACCAACAACGACGUUCCAGAGUUGGACUGCAAGGAAAAUUUUAGAAGUUCAAAUUCAGCAACUUAAUGGCGAUACUGUCACGCCUCUGGCCCA